rnacentral:sRNA from 1 species
CCAUAGCCCCGAUUGUAGAGGAAAUCCUUUUUUGCUUGUACUUCGGUGAAUAUUUUGACAAAACCUGAUGCAAAAAAGAUUGCAACGGAAAGCGGGAAAUAGC